rnacentral:tmRNA from 1 species
GGGGCUGUAAUGGUUUCGACUGUGUGAGAAAGGGGAGGCAUAAGCAUACCGAGGCUCCCGUCCUCGUUAAAAAGGGAAAAUUAAAAUUAAAUGCUGACAAUCAGAAAUUAGCAUUUGCCGCUUAAUUAAAGCGACUGUCCGACCGCUUCAUCCCGCGGGGAGCGUGUUCGGGCAUGAUUUAACGCGGGGAACUACUUUGCGGGAUUGAAAACACCCGCAACGCGGAUCUUUGUUUUCGGCGCCGCUCGCAAUUCGCGCUUUACCGGAGCGAGCGGAAGGGGAUUAAGCUAAGGCUAAGUAUGUAGAAGGCCUUUCGGUUUUCGCGCAACACGAGAGUUCGAUUCUCUCCAGUUCCACCA